rnacentral:tRNA from 21 species
GCGGCCGUGGCGGAACUGGCAGACGCGUAAGAUUAAGGAUCUUAUGGUCGAUUAUGACCGUGGAGGUUCAAGUCCUCUCGGCCGCACUA